UACGUAGGGGCGAGCGUUAUCCGGAAUUAUUGGGCGUAAAGAGUGCGUAGGUGGUUGUUUAAGCGUGGGGUGAAAGGCAAUGGCUUAACCAUUGUGAGCCUCGCGAACUGGGCGACUUGAGUGCAGGAGAGGAAAGCGGAAUUCCUAGUGUAGCGGUGAAAUGCGUAGAUAUUAGGAGGAACACCAGUGGCGAAGGCGGCUUUCUGGACUGUAACUGACACUGAGGCACGAAAGCGUGGGGAGCAAACAGGAUUAGAUACCCGCGUAGUCCCU
rnacentral:rRNA from 1 species